rnacentral:rRNA from 1 species
UACGUAGGUGGCGAGCGUUGUCCGGAUUUAUUGGGUUUAAAGGGUGCGUAGGCGGUCCUAUAAGUCAGUGGUGAAAUAUUGCAGCUCAACUGUGAGGGUGCCAUUGAUACUGUAGGACUUGAGUGAAUUUGAGGUAGGCGGAAUUGACGGUGUAGCGGUGAAAUGCUUAGAUAUCGUCAAGAACACCGAUAGUGAAGACAGCUUACCAAGCUUCAACUGACGCUGAGGCACGAAAGUGUGGGGAUCAAACAGG